rnacentral:rRNA from 1 species
UACGUAGGGUACAAGCGUUAAUCGGAAUUACUGGGCGUAAAGCGUGCGCAGGCGGUUAUGUAAGACAGAUGUGAAAUGCCCGGGCUUAACCUGGGAACUGCAUUUGUGACUGCACAGCUGGAGUGCGGCAGAGGGGGAUGGAAUUCCGCGUGUAGCAGUGAAAUGCGUAGAUAUGCGGAGGAACACCGAUGGCGAAGGCAAUCCCCUGGGCCUGCACUGACGCUCAUGCACGAAAGCGUGGGGAGCAAACAGG